CAAUAGCGUAUAUUAAAGUUGUUGCAGUUAAAAAGCUCGUAGUUGGAUUUCUGGUGGGAGCGAUCGGUCUGGCGCUUAGCGCGAGUACUUGCAUCGUCUCCGGCCAUCCUUGGGGAGAGUCUGUCUGGCAUUAAGUUGUCGGGCAGAGGAUCCUCAUCGUUUACUGUGAAAAAAUUAGAGUAUUCAAAGCAGGCUUAUGCCGUUGAAUAUAUUAGCAUGGAAUAAUAAGAUAGGACUUUGGUACUAUUUUGUUGGUUUGCGCACCAAAGUAAUGAUUAAUAGGGACAGUUGGGGGUAUUCGUAUUCCGUUGUCAGAGGUGAAAUUCUUGGAUUUACGGAAGACGAACUACUGCGAAAGCAUUUACCAAGGAUGUUUUCAUUAA
rnacentral:rRNA from 1 species